GAUGAAGAACGUAGCGAAAUGCGAUAAGUAGUGUGAAUUGCAGAAUUCAGUGAAUCAUCGAAUCUUUGAACGCACAUUGCGCCCUUUGGUAUUCCUUAGGGCAUGCCUGUUCGAGCGUCAUUUGAAACCUCAAGCUCAGCUUGGUGUUGGGUGUCUGUCCCCGCCUCCGCGGGGACUCGCCUCAAAAUCAUUGGCGGCCGGUACGUUGGCUUCGAGCGCAGCAGAAACGCGAACUCGAGGCCCGGCGGAUCGGCGACCAGAAGUCUCUUCUUCACAGUUUGACCUCGGAUCAGGUAGGGAUACCCGCUGAACUUAAGCAUAUCAAUAAGCGGAGCA
rnacentral:misc_RNA from 1 species